UUACAGAGUACAAGCUCCAUUCUUCUUCUUUUGGUACCAAUACUGCUAUCAUGCCUGGUGAGUUAUUAAACUUCAGAGACUUUGAUCCAUUAGGUAGAAAAGUUAUCUGAGUUUGAAGCUUUGAUAAUAGAUCUCGUUCUAGAAGUUGAAUUGGACACUCUGGCAUAUAGGAACUUUUGCUUCACAAAAUGGCCUCCUAAAAUGCAACUGCGACU